GUGGGGAAUAUUGCGCAAUGGGGGAAACCCUGACGCAGCAAUACCGCGUGAGUGAAGAAGGUUUUCGGAUCGUAAAGCUCUGUUAUUGGGGAAGAAAAAAGACGGUACCCAAGAAGAAAGUCCCGGCUAACUACGUGCCAGCAGCCGCGGUAAUACGUAGGGGACAAGCGUUGUCCGGAUUUACUGGGCGUAAAGGGCACGCAGGCGGUUUUUUAAGUCAGAUGUGAAAGGUACCGGCUCAACCGGUGACAUGCAUUUGAAACUGAAAGACUUGAGUAUUGGAGAGGCAAGUGGAAUUCCUAGUGUAGCGGUGAAAUGCGUAGAUAUUAGGAGGAACACCGGUGGCGAAGGCGGCUUGCUGGACAAAUACUGACGCUGAGGUGCGAAAGCGUGGGGAGCAAACAGGAUUAGAAACCCGUGUAGUCC
rnacentral:rRNA from 1 species